UGGGGAAUAUUGGACAAUGGGCGAAAGCCUGAUCCAGCCAUGCCGCGUGAGUGAAGAAGGCCUUCGGGUUGUAAAGCUCUUUUAGUCGGAAAGAAAGAGUCGCAAUGAAUAAUUGUGAUUUAUGACGGUACCGACAGAAAAAGCACCGGCUAACUACGUGCCAGCAGCCGCGGUAAUACGUAGGGUGCGAGCGUUAAUCGGAAUUACUGGGCGUAAAGGGUGCGCAGGCGGUUUUGCAAGUCAGAUGUGAAAGCCCCGGGCUUAACCUGGGAAUUGCGUUUGAAACUACAAGGCUAGAGUGCAGCAGAGGGGAGUGGAAUUCCAUGUGUAGCAGUGAAAUGCGUAGAGAUGUGGAAGAACACCGAUGGCGAAGGCGGCUCCCUGGGUUGACACUGACGCUCAUGCACGAAAGCGUGGGGAGCAAACA
rnacentral:rRNA from 1 species